rnacentral:rRNA from 1 species
UACGUAGGGGGCAAGCGUUGUCCGGAUUUAUUGGGCGUAAAGAGCGUGUAGGCGGCCAGGUAGGUCUGCUGUGAAAACUCGAGGCUUAACCUCGAGCUGUCGGCGGAAACCAUCUGGCUAGAGUCCGGAAGAGGAGAAUGGAAUUCCCGGUGUAGCGGUGAAAUGCGCAGAUAUCGGGAAGAACACCCGUGGCGAAGGCGGUUCUCUGGACAGUUCCUGACACUGAGACACGAAGGCCAGGGGAGCAAACGGG